rnacentral:rRNA from 1 species
GUCUAUGGUCAUACCACCCUGAACAAGCCCCAUCUUGGCUGAUCUCGGAAGCUAAGCAGGGUUGGGCCUGGUUAGUACUUGGAUGGGAGAUUACCUAGGAAGAUCAGGUGCUGUAGGCA